rnacentral:rRNA from 1 species
GUUAUAUAGUCAAGUGAUUAAGCGUACACGGUGGAUGCCUUGGCAGCCAGAGGCGAUGAAG